rnacentral:rRNA from 1 species
GAAGUAAAAGUCGUAACAAGGUUUCCGUAGGUGAACCUGCGGAAGGAUCAUUAUAAAUGAAAAACAUAACUUCAGGGAAGAAGGGAACCUGCGCGGUGACCGCCCCUGUCGGGCCACCCAAUACCUGCGAAAUGCCGCCGUCCUAGCGGUGGCAGCCGAAAAACAACACGAAAAACAAAAAUAGAAUCAGGCACGGUGGCCCGUUCACCUUCACAUAACCCUCCGAGUACCGCUUCCAUGUUGCUUCCCCGCAUAUCCACCUCUCUGGUUGGCGCGGGGAAGGUCCGCAUCAAACUCACGUGCACGUAACAGCAGUCAGACAGCCAUUCAUAGAAACUAUAAAACUUUCAACAACGGAUCUCUUGGUUCCCGCAUCGAUGAAGAACGCAGCGAAAUGCGAUAAGUAAUGUGAAUUGCAGAAUUCAGUGAAUCAUCGAAUCUUUGAACGCACAUUGCGCCCUCUGGUAUUCCGGGGGGCAUGCCUGUUCGAGCCUCAAUGAAAACUCUCCUCCAAUGCUGGUGUCUUCCGGCACAUGGGGGGUUCUGGUGGAUGCCCACACCUUGAACUGUGUGUGUGCUGCCCAAAUCCGCUGUCCGCGAGCCUGAGGAUUGCAGCCGACGUAGUGAGAUUCAAUCUCGUUGUCUGUUAAACCUGACAGAGGCAACGGGACCUUAAGCGCCAUGGCGCCAACGUUAAGACAGUUGAGCUCGGAUCAGGUAGGGAUACCCGCUGAACUUAAGCAUAUCA